rnacentral:rRNA from 1 species
GAUGAACGCUGGCGGCGUGCCUAAUACAUGCGAGUCGAGCGAACGGACGAGAAGCUUGCUUUUCUGAUGUUAGCGGCGGACGGGUGAGUAACACGUGGAUAACCUACCUAUAAGACUGGGAUAACUUCGGGAAACCGGAGCUAAUACCGGAUAAUAUUUUGAACCGCAUGGUUCAAAAGUGAAAGACGGUCUUGCUGUCACUUAUAGAUGGAUCCGCGCUGCAUUAGCUAGUUGGUAAGGUAACGGCUUACCAAGGCAACGAUGCAUAGCCGACCUGAGAGGGUGAUCGGCCACACUGGAACUGAGACACGGUCCAGACUCCUACGGGAGGCAGCAGUAGGGAAUCUUCCGCAAUGGGCGAAAGCCUGACGGAGCAACGCCGCGUGAGUGAUGAAGGUCUUCGGAUCGUAAAACUCUGUUAUUAGGGAAGAACAGAUGUGUAAGUAACUGUGCACAUCUUGACGGUACCUAAGCAGAAAGCCACGGCUAACUACGU